GGACUACUAGGGUUUCUAAUCCCGUUUGCUCCCCUGGCUUUCGCGCCUCAGCGUCAGAUGAGGUCCAGCAGGGCGCUUUCGCCACCGGCGUUCCUUCCGAUAUCAACGCAUUUCACCGCUCCACCGGAAGUUCCCCCUGCCCCUACCUCGCUCAAGCUGACCAGUAUCGAAGGCACUUUUCCGGUUAAGCCGAAAGAUUUCACCCCCGACUGGGUCAGCCGCCUACGCGCCCUUUAAGCCCAGUGAUUCCGAACAACGUUCGCACGGUUCGUCUUACCGCGGCUGCUGGCAC
rnacentral:rRNA from 1 species